CCCAGCCAGAAGUUUUGGUAGAGUCCUGGGAGAAAACGGUAAGGCUUAAAGUCUGAUCUUUCAAAGACCUAUUUAUCUAACUGGUUUGCUAUGAAGUGUUACUUUAAAAGAAAACGCGAAUUACACUGUCGAGAACUGGCGUAAUGAUAAUGAGCCUUCAACCAAUUGUAGUUUAUAGGCAACGUUAAGGAUCAUUGAUUGUGAUAGUUUUGUGCGCUUGUUGGUGGGCUCAUAGACAUUUUUUAAUCGUUAAAAAUUACUUGAAUUGUUAAAAUUGUAAUUAUUACCAUAUCAGCCCGAUGCUAUCAGUUCUGUUUUUUUUGUGUGUGUGUCGGAGAGUUUCACUCUGCGUGUGUGGGGCGGAGCAGGCAGCUCCCGGUCACAGACAGCACCGUCCUCGGAGACAGCUGCUAAGAACAAUCAAUGGCGGAGAAAACUGUUCGCUCGAAAGGUAAUUUACAAGACUCGGGAACUGGAAGUGGGAUAACAUGCACAUUCCUUUUUGUAAUGUUUACAAAUUUUCCUUUCCUCAGAAAUGAGGAGUUUGCUGCUAUAUUGUGCAUCAAAAAAGAUUCUGAUGCUGCUAUUUUUAUUGUUUACAAGUUGUAUUGUGUUUUUGUUAUUUAAGUUUAUAUUUAAAUUUACACAAGUCAGUAUUCAAUAAAUACUAAGUAGAGAAA